GAUGAACGCUGGCGGCGUGCCUAAUACAUGCAAGUCGAGCGAACGGACGAGAAGCUUGCUUUUCUGAUGUUAGCGGCGGACGGGUGAGUAACACGUGGAUAACCUACCUAUAAGACUGGGAUAACUUCGGGAAACCGGAGCUAAUACCGGAUAAUAUUUUGAACCGCAUGGUUCAAAAGUGAAAGACGGUCUUGCUGUCACUUAUAGAUGGAUCCGCGCUGCAUUGGCUAGUUGGUAAGGUAACGGCUUACCAAGGCAACGAUGCAUAGCCGACCUGAGAGGGUGAUCGCCCACAGGGGAUCUGAGACACGCUCCAGCCUCCUAGGGGAGGCAGCGGUGGGGAUUCUCCCGCAGGGGGAGAAACCGUGAGGGAGCAACGCGGGGGGGGUAAUAAAGUGUUUCGAAUCUAAAAACUUUUUUAUUAGGAAAAAAAAGAUUUGUAAGUACUUGGACAAAUCUGGACGGUCCUAAAACAAAAACCACGGGCUAACUGCGU
rnacentral:rRNA from 1 species